rnacentral:snRNA from 1 species
UGCUCGCUUCAGCAGCACAUAUACUAAAAUUGGAAUG